rnacentral:rRNA from 1 species
GAUGAACGCUGGCGGCGUGACUAAUACAUGCAAGUCGAGCGAACGGACGAGAAGCUUGCUUCUCUAAUGUUAGCGGCGGACGGGUGAGUAACACGUGGAUAACCUACCUAUAAGACUGGGAUAACUUCGGGAAACCGGAGCUAAUACCGGAUAAUAUUUUGAACCGCAUGGUUCAAAAGUGAAAGACGGUCUUGCUGUCACUUAUAGAUGGAUCCGCGCUGCAUUAGCUAGUUGGUAAGGUAACGGCUUACCAAGGCAACGAUGCAUAGCCGACCUGAGAGGGUGAUCGGCCACACUGGAACUGAGACACGGUCCAGACUCCUACGGGAGGCAGCAGUAGGGAAUCUUCCGCAAUGGGCGAAAGCCUGACGGAGCAACGCCGCGUGAGUGAUGAAGGUCUUCGGAUCGUAAAACUCUGUUAUUAGGGAAGAACAUAUGUGUAAGUAACUGUGCACAUCUUGACGGUACCUAAUCAGAAAGCCACGGCUAACUACGUG